CGGCGGGCCUAACACAUGCAAGUCGAACGAGAAUGAGGGGGCAACUCCUCUAGUAAAGUGGCGGACGGGUGCGUAACACGUAGGUAAUUUACCUUCCGGCGGGGGACAACAGUCCGAAAGGAUUGCUAAUACCGCAUACGUCGGCGAGAUCUCCGGAUCUUGUCGGGAAAGAUGGCCUCUCCUUGGAAGCUGUCACCGGAAGAUGAACCUGCGGCCCAUCAGCUUGUUGGUGAGGUAACGGCUCACCAAGGCGAAGACGGGUAGCUGGUCUGAGAGGAUGAUCAGCCACACUGGGACUGCGACACGGCCCAGACUCCUACGGGAGGCAGCAGUGGGGAAUAUUGGGCAAUGGGCGAAAGCCUGACCCAGCCACGCCGCGUGAGUGAUGAAGGCCUUCGGGUCGUAAAGCUCUGUGGGGAGGGACGAAUAAGUCCGGUGCUAAUAUCACCGGGCCCUGACGGUACCUCCUUAGCAAGCACCGGCUAACCAUGUGCCAGCAGCCGCGGUAAUACAUGGGGUGCAAACGUUGCUCGGAAUUAUUGGGCGUAAAGCGCACGUAGGCGGUCCGUUAAGUCGAAUGUGAAAUCCCCCGGCUCAACCGGGGAAGUGCAUCCGAAACUGGCGGGCUAGAGUACGAAAGAGGGUCGCGGAAUUCCCGGUGUAGAGGUGAAAUUCGUAGAUAUCGGGAGGAACACCGGUGGCGAAGGCGGCGACCUGGGUCGAUACUGACGCUGAGGUGCGAAAGCG
rnacentral:rRNA from 1 species